CAGUAGCCGCGGGAAUACGAAGGUCCCGAGCGUUGUUCGGAAUCACUGGGCGUAAAGGGAGCGUAGGCGGCGUGGUAAGUCAGAUGUGAAAUCCCGGGGCUCAACCCCGGAACUGCAUCCGAUACUGCCGUGCUAGAGGAUUGGAGAGGUAGCUGGAAUUCUUGGUGUAGCAGUGAGAUGCGUGGAGAUCAAGAGGAACACUCGUGGCGAAAGCGAGCUACUGGACAAUAUCUGACGCUGAGGCUCGAAGGCCAGGGUAGCGAAAGGGAUUAGAUACCCCCGUAGUCCCUGUCUCUUAUAA
rnacentral:rRNA from 1 species